rnacentral:rRNA from 1 species
UACGUAGGGGGCAAGCGUUGUCCGGAUUUAUUGGGCGUAAAGAGCGUGUAGGCGGCCACACAGGUCAAGCUGUGAAACUCGAGGCUCAACCUCGAGACGUCGGUUGAAACCGUAUGGCUAGAGUCCGGAAGAGGAGAGUGGAAUUCCCGGUGUAGCGGUGAAAUGCGCAGAUAUCGGGAAGAACACCCGGUGGCGAAGGCGGCUCUCUGGGACGGUACUGACGCGUGAGACGCGGAAAAGCGUGGGGAGCGAACAGG